CGGAGGGUGCAAGCGUUGUCCGGAUUUAUUGGGUUUAAAGGGUGCGUAGGUGGUAUUGUAAGUCUGGUUUGAAAGCUGGUCGCUUAACGAUCAGAUGUGGCUGGAAACUGCGGUACUUGAAUGGAUUGGCGGUAGCCGGAAUGGGUCAUGUAGCGGUGAAAUGCAUAGAUAUGACCCGGAACACCGAUUGCGAAGGCAGGCUACUACGAUUUGAUUGACACUGAGGCACGAGAGCAUGGGUAGCGAACAGGAUU
rnacentral:rRNA from 1 species